rnacentral:rRNA from 1 species
GACGAACGCUGGCGGCGUGCUUAACACAUGCAAGUCGAACGGAAAGGCCCUGCUUUUGUGGGGUGCUCGAGUGGCGAACGGGUGAGUAACACGUGAGUAACCUGCCCUUGACUUUGGGAUAACUUCAGGAAACUGGGGCUAAUACCGGAUAGGAGCUCCUGCUGCAUGGUGGGGGUUGGAAAGUUUCGGCGGUUGGGGAUGGACUCGCGGCUUAUCAGCUUGUUGGUGGGGUAGUUGCUUACCAAGGCUUUGACGGGUAGCCGGCCUGAGAGGGUGACCGGCCACAUUGGGACUGAGAUACGGAGCAGACUCGAACGGGAGGCAGCAGUGGGGAAUAUUGCGCAGUAGGCGGAAGCCUGAUGCAGCAACGCCGCGUGCGGGAUGACGGCCUUCGGGUUGUAAACCGCUUUCGCCUGUGACGAAGCGUGAGUGACGGUAAUGGGUAAAGAAGCACCGGCUAACUACGUG